rnacentral:rRNA from 1 species
GAUGAACGCUGGCGGCGUGCCUAAUACAUGCAAGUCGAGCGAACGGACGAGAAGCUUGCUUCUCUGAUGUUAGCGGCGGACGGGUGAGUAACACGUGGAUAACCUACCUUUAAGACUGGGAUAACUUCGGGAAACCGGAGCUAAUACCGGAUAAUAUUUUGAACCGCAUGGUUCAAAAGUGAAAGACGGUCUUGCUGUCACUUAUAGAUGGAUCCGCGCUGCAUUAGCUAGUUGGUAAGGUAACGGCUUACCAAGGCAACGAUGCAUAGCCGACCUGAGAGGGGGGUCGGCCGCACUGGAACUGAGACACCGUCCAGGGUACUGAGGGAGGGAGCAGUCGGGAAUCCUCCGCAAUAGGGGGAAGCCUGGCGGAACGACGGCGCGUGAGUGGUGGAAGUUCUCGGAUCGGAAAACCCUGUUAUUAGGGGAGAACAUAUUUGGAAGGUACCGUGCACAUCUUGACGGUACCUAAUCAGAAAGCCACGGCUAACUACGUG